rnacentral:tRNA from 1 species
AAGAGGUGUCUUGAACACCAAGAACUG